GUAUAAGCAAUUAUACAGCGAAACUGCGAAUGGCUCAUUAUAUAAGUUAUCGUUUAUUUGAUAGUACCUUACUACUUGGAUAACCGUGGUAAUUCUAGAGCUAAUACAUGCUAAAAAUCCCGACUUCGGAAGGGAUGUAUUUAUUAGAUUAAAAACCAAUGCCCUCUGGGCUCCUUGGUGAUUCAUGAUAACUCUUCGAAUCGCACGGCCUUGCGCCGGCGAUGGUUCAUUCAAAUUUCUUCCCUAUCAACUUUCGAUGUUUGGGUAUUGGCCAAACAUGGUUGCAACGGGUAACGGAGGGUUAGGGCUCGACCCCGGAGAAGGAGCCUGAGAAACGGCUACUACAUCCAAGGAAGGCAGCAGGCGCGCAAAUUACCCAAUCCCGAUUCGGGGAGGUAGUGACAAUAAAUACUGAUACAGGGCUCUUUUGGGUCUUGUAAUUGGAAUGAGUACAAUUUAAAUCUCUUAACGAGGAACAAUUGGAGGGCAAGUCUGGUGCCAGCAGCCGCGGUAAUUCCAGCUCCAAUAGCGUAUAUUAAAGUUGUUGUGGUUAAAAAGCUCGUAGUUGAACCUUGGGCCUGGCUGGCCGGUCCGCCUCACCGCGUGCACUGGUCCGGCCGGGCCUUUCCCUCUGUGGAACCCCAUGCCCUUCACUGGGCGUGGCGGGGAAACAGGACGUUUACUUUGAAAAAAUUAGAGUGCUCCAGGCAGGCCUAUGCUCGAAUACAUUAGCAUGGAAUAAUGAAAUAGGACGCGUGGUUCUAUUUUGUUGGUUUCUAGGACCGCCGUAAUGAUUAAUAGGGACAGUCGGGGGCAUCAGUAUUCAAUUGUCAGAGGUGAAAUUCUUGGAUUUAUUGAAGACUAACUACUGCGAAAGCAUUUGCCAAGGAUGUUUUCAUUAAUCAGGAACGAAAGUUAGGGGAUCGAAGACGAUCAGAUACCGUCGUAGUCUUAACCAUAAACUAUGCCGACUAGGGAUCGGACGAUGUUAUUUUUUGACGCGUUCGGCACCUUACGAGAAAUCAAAGUGCUUGGGCUCCAG
rnacentral:rRNA from 1 species